GCCUCCGUUGUCUAGUGGCCUAGGACGCCGCCCUCUCAAGGCGAAAACACGGGUUCGAAUCCCGUCGGAGGUG
rfam:Faecalibacterium sp. CAG:74 genomic scaffold, scf34